rnacentral:rRNA from 1 species
GACGAACGCUGGCGGCGUGCCUAACACAUGCAAGUCGAACGGAAGUAAGAGCUUCGGUUUUACUUUAGUGGCGAACGGGUGAGUAACGCGUGAGGAACCUGCCUCAAAGAGGGGGACAACAGUUGGAAACGACUGCUAAUACCGCAUAAGCGCACAGUACCGUAUGGUACGGUGUGAAAAACUCCGGUGGUAUGAGAUGGACCCGCGUCUGAUUAGGUAGUUGGUGGGGUAACGGCCUACCAAGCCGACGAUCAGUAGCCGACCUGAGAGGGUGACCGGCCACAUUGGGACUGAGACACGGCCCUU